rnacentral:rRNA from 1 species
CGGGGACGAGUCCCUUGGAACAGGGCAUCGUGGAGGGUGACAAUCCCGUACGUGCCCCGGAACACGUCGUACGGCGCGUCUUCAACGAGUCGAGUUGCUUGGGACUGCAGCUCUAAUAGGUGGUAAAUUCCAUCUAAGGCUAAAUACGGGUGGGAGACCGAUAGCGAACAAGUACCGUGAGGGAAAGAUGCAAAG